rnacentral:rRNA from 1 species
GCAAGUCUGGUGCCAGCAGCCGCGGUAAUUCCAGCUCCAAGAGCGUAUGUAAAAGUUGUUGCAGUUAAAAAGCUCGUAGUUGAACCUUGGGCUUGGUUGGCCGGUCCGCUUAUUUGCGAGUACUGGACUCAACCGAGCCUUUCCUCCUGGCUAACUAGUUGCCCUUGUGGUGGCUAGCGAACCAGGAAUUUUACUUUGAGAAAAUUAGAGUGUUCAAAGCAGGCAUUAGCUUGAAUAUAUUAGCAUGGAAUAAUAGAAUAGGACGUUAUGGUUCUAUUUUGUUGGUUUCUAGGACCAUCGUAAUGAUUAAUAGGGACGGUCGGGGGCAUCAGUAUUCAGUUGUCAGAGGUGAAAUUCUUGGAUUUACUGAAGACUAACUACUGCGAAAGCAUUUGCCAA